rnacentral:tRNA from 2 species
UCGGGGGUCGUCUAAUGGUAGGACAGAGGCCUUUGAAGCCUUGAAUCGGGGUUCGACUCCCUGCCCCCGAACCA